rnacentral:tRNA from 2 species
GGGGCAUUAGCUCAUCUGGUAGAGCGCAACAUUCGCAUUGUUGAGGUAGGCGGUUCGAGUCCGCUAUGCUCCA